UCUCCGUUGGUGAACCAGCGGAGGGAUCAUUACCGAGUUUACAACUCCCAAACCCCUGUGAACAUACCUUAAUGUUGCCUCGGCGGAUCAGCCCGCGCCCCGUAAAACGGGACGGCCCGCCAGAGGACCCAAACUCUGUUUUUAGUGUAACUUCUGAGUAAAACAAACAAAUAAAUCAAAACUUUCAACAACGGAUCUCUUGGUUCUG
rnacentral:misc_RNA from 1 species